CAGAUGCUGACUCAAGAUCAUCUCAUUCAGUCAUGGGUCGUCCAGGGAUUCAGAUGUGGACAUGGAAACUGUGUGUCUUCCUGAGCUGGAUGUGCGUGGGCCAAGCGGUGUCAGGACCGCAGUACAUGGUAGCCAUUCCUGCAGUCCUUGAAUCUG